ACGAACGCUGGCGGCGUGCUUAACCCAUGCAAGUCGAACGGAAAGGCCCUGCUUUUGUGGGGUGCUCGAGUGGCGAACGGGUGAGUAACACGUGAGUAACCUGCCCUUGACUUUGGGAUAACUUCAGGAAACUGGGGCUAAUACCGGAUAGGAGCUCCUGCUGCAUGGUGGGGGUUGGAAAGUUUCGGCGGUUGGGGAUGGACUCGCGGCUUAUCAGCUUGUUGGUGGGGUAGUGGCUUACCAAGGCUUUGACGGGUAGCCGGCCUGAGAGGGUGACCGGCCACAUUGGGACUGAGAUACGGCCCAGACUCCUACGGGAGGCAGCAGUGAGGAAUAUUGCACAAUGGGCGGAAGCCUGAUGCAGCAACGCCGCGUGCGGGAUGACGGCCUUCGGGUUGUAAACCGCUUUCGCCUGUGACGAAGCGUGAGUGACGGUAAUGGGUAAAGAAGCACCGGCUAACUACGUG
rnacentral:rRNA from 1 species